rnacentral:rRNA from 1 species
GACGAACGCUUGCGGCGUGCUUAACACAUGCAAGUCGAACGGAAAGGCCCUGCUUUUGUGGGGUGCUCGAGUGGCGAACGGGUGAGUAACACGUGAGUAACCUGCCCUUGACUUUGGGAUAACUUCAGGAAACUGGGGCUAAUACCGGAUAGGAGCUCCUGCUGCAUGGUGGGGGUUGGAAAGUUUCGGCGGUUGGGGAUGGACUCGCGGCUUAUCAGCUUGUUGGUGGGGUAGUGGCUUACCAAGGCUUUGACGGGUAGCCGGCCUGAGAGGGUGACCGGCCACAUUGGGACUGAGAUACGGCCCAGACUCCUACGGGGGGCAGCAGUGGGGAAUAUUGCACAAUGGGCGGAAGCCUGAUGCAGCAACGCCGCGUGCGGGAUGACGGCCUUCGGGUUGUAAACCGCUUUCGCCUGUGACGAAGCGUGAGUGACGGUAAUGGGUAAAGAAGCACCGGCUAACUACGUGCCAGCAGCCGCGGUGAUACGUAGGGUGCGAGCGUUGUCCGGAUUUAUUGGGCGUAAGGGCUCGUAGGUGGUUGAUCGCGUCGAAAGUGUAAUCUUGGGGCUUAACCCUGAGCGUGCUUUCGAUACGGGUUGACUUGAGGAAGGUAGGGGAGAAUGGAAUUCCUGGUGGAGCGGUGGAAUGCGCAGAUAUCAGGAGGAACACCAGUGGCGAAGGCGGUUCUCUGGGCCUUUCCUGACGCUGAGGAGCGAAAGCGUGGGGAGCGAACAGGCUUAGAUACCCUGGUAGUCCACGCUGUAAACGGUGGGUACUAGGUGUGGGGUCCAUUCCACGGGUUCCGUGCCGUAGCUAACGCUUUAAGUACCCCGCCUGGGGAGUACGGCCGCAAGGCUAAAACUCAAAGGAAUUGACGGGGCCCCGCACAAGCGGCGGAGCAUGCGGAUUAAUUCGAUGCAACGCGUAGAACCUUACCUGGGUUUGACAUGGAUCGGGAGUGCUCAGAGAUGGGUGUGCCUCUUUUGGGGUCGGUUCACAGGUGGUGCAUGCCUGUCGUCAGCUCGUGUCGUGAGAUGUUGGGUUAAGUCCCGCAACGAGCGCAACCCUUGUUCACUGUUGCCAGCACGUUAUGGUGGGGACUCAGUGGAGACCGCCGGGGUCAACUCGGAGGAAGGUGGGGAUGACGUCAAGUCCUCAUGCCCCUUAUGUCCAGGGCUUCACGCAUGCUACAAUGGCUGGUACAGAGAGUGGCGAGCCUGUGAGGGUGAGCGAAUCUCGGAAAGCCGGUCUCAGUUCGGAUUGGGGUCUGCAACUCGACCUCAUGAAGUCGGAGUCGCUAGUAAUCGCAGAUCAGCAACGCUGCGGUGAAUACGUUCCCGGG